rnacentral:rRNA from 1 species
UGCGACCGGCGCACGGUGAGUAACACGUAUCCAACCUGCCGAUGACUCGGGGAUAGCCUUUCGAAAGAAAGAUUAAUACCCGAUGGCAUAGUUCUUCCGCAUGGUAGAACUAUUAAAGAAUUUCGGUCAUCGAUGGGGAUGCGUUCCAUUAGGUUGUUGGCGGGGUAACGGCCCACCAAGCCUUCGAUGGAUAGGGGUUCUGAGAGGAAGGUCCCCCACAUUGGAACUGAGACACGGUCCAA